UCUCCUGGAAACGGGUGGUAAUGCCGAAUGUUCCACAUGCUCGCAUGGGUGUGUGGGAAAACGUUUUAGUGCUAUGCGAUGGGAUCGCGUCCUAUCAGCUUGUUGGUGGGGUAGUGGCCUACCAAGGCUUCGACGGGUAGCCGGCCUGAGAGGGCGACCGGCCACAUUGGGACUGAGAUACGGCCCAGACUCCUACGGGAGGCAGCAGUGGGGAAUAUUGCACAAUGGGGGGAACCCUGAUGCAGCGACGCCGCGUGCGGGAUGACGGCCUUCGGGUUGUAAACCGCUUUUAUUGGGGAGCAAGCGUGAGUGAGUGUACCUUUUGAAUAAGCACCGGCUAACUACGUGCCAGCAGCCGCGGUAAUACGUAGGGUGCAAGCGUUGUCCGGAAUUAUUGGGCGUAAAGAGCUCGUAGGCGGUUUGUCGCGUCUGGUGUGAAAGUCCAUCGCUUAACGGUGGAUUGGCGCUGGGUACGGGCAGGCUAGAGUGUAGUAGGGGAGACUGGAAUUCUCGGUGUAACGGUGGAAUGUGUAGAUAUCGGGAAGAACACCA
rnacentral:rRNA from 1 species